UACGUAGGGGGCAAGCGUUGUCCGGAUUUAUUGGGCGUAAAGAGCGUGUAGGCGGUUAGGUAGGUCCGUUGUGAAAACUCGAGGCUUAACCUCGAGCUGUCGGCGGAAACCAUCUGGCUAGAGUCCGGAAGAGGAGUGUGGAAUUCCCCGGUGUAGCGGUGAAAUGCGCAGAUAUCGGGAAGAACACCCGUGGCGAAGGCGGCACUCUGGGACGGUACUGACGCUGAGACGCGAAAGCGUGGGGAGCGAACAGG
rnacentral:rRNA from 1 species